rnacentral:rRNA from 1 species
ACGGGAGGCAGCAGUGAGGAAUAUUGGUCAAUGGGCGGAAGCCUGAACCAGCCAUGCCGCGUGAAGGAAUGAGGCCCUAUGGGUUGUAAACUUCUUUUGACGGGGAGCAAUAAGGCGUACGCGUACGCCGAUGAGAGUACCCGUGGAAUAAGCAUCGGCUAACUCCGUGCCAGCAGCCGCGGUAAUACGGAGGAUGCAAGCGUUAUCCGGAUUUAUUGGGUUUAAAGGGUGCGUAGGCUGUGCGGUAAGUCAGAGGUGAAAGCCCCCCGCUUAACGGGGGAACUGCCUUUGAUACUGUCGCGCUGGAAUACUGUUGCCGUGGGAGGAAUGAGUAGUGUAGCGGUGAAAUGCAUAGAUAUUACUCAGAACACCGAUUGCGAAGGCAUCUCACGAAGCAGUCAUUGACGCUGAGGCACGAAAGCGUGGGGAUCAAACAGGAUUAGAUACCCUGGUA